AAAGGAAACCAAUGUAAAUAAAAUGAACUAUGAAAUAUUUGGGGGUUACAACACAAAAUCAUACAUAAUGGUUAUUUGGGGGUUAUAACACAACAUCAUAAAUAAUGGUUAUUUGGAGGUAAUAACACAAAAUUAUAGAUAAUGGUUAUACCAGUAUCUUUUUCUAUUUUGUUUCAAAUAAUUGGCCAAUAUAUUAAUAUUUACAGUAGCAAAAAAAAUCGUUCCAUGUAACUUCAUUGAGUGCCUUUUACACUGAAAUUCCCGACGCCCUUUGAUGCUUUGCAUCAAUACUUAUCUUGUUUGUUUCCUCCAAUACAAACGUUGGCAUUUAAGCAUCUAUCUUAAUCUUAAUAGUCAAGCUACUCAAUAUUCACUCAUAAUAACCUUGAAAUCACACAACUAUCGAAGUAGUGAAACUACCAUGUAUCCACUCAUAAUAACGUAGAUUAUGUUUGCCGAUUCAACUCAAGAAAGCGCUUGGUAGUCAUCAUGCCCCUUUUGAGGCUUUGCUAGUAACCACUGUUUAUGUAAUUAAUCAGCGAAGCGUUAUUUUGCUGUGUAAAAAAUCGACAACGAGCCCACACCUGCAUCGACACCAUACCCACGGCCGUUAAUAUCUUGCUCCACAUCUUCUUUGAGAUGCAUUACUAAUACAGCUACUCACAUUUUCUAGGUGGCGCUAAGGGUCGCAGAAAUCGUGGAUCUGAGAAGGUUUCAUAUGUUGUUGUUUUUUUCAUACAUAUUUCGCCUACUUCUAACAUUCGGGCAAUGUUGUGCGUUUAAGCGAAUAUUAUUUAAUACACAUUUAUACAGAAACGUACACAGUUAAAACUCAUUUGGAAACGUGAGAAAAUUAAUAAGGUUUGAAAUGGCGGUAUUUAAAACAACGCAUGAAUGCAAUUGCUUAUGCGAACAUCAACUUAAAUCCAAUGACCUACAUAGAAAACCUACCCACCUCCUUCCUUUUUGCAACAGGUAAAAAUUAUUCUGGUUUUACGCGUCACCUCGGGUGUAUCGUUGGCUCGAUUAGUAAUGAAUCUACACAACAAAUCUGGGGUCAGAGAUUAAUGGUCGUGUUUUGCACAAUUAUAUCUUUACAUAUUUACGUGCUGUGUUGAUAACUGUGUACGACUUGAGUAUGUUCGCCCUAUAUAAUGGAUAUAUUUAACGUCAUUGUAAGUUGAAUUGUGUACGUCAAGAUCGCACCAUGCAUUUCUAGCAACUUGCAAAGAAGGACCAAGGACAGAAUAAGAACAAGAGCUCGUGCGUGAGUUGCGCCGAAUAGCAGACGAUAUUGACCAAAAUAGAAAAUUGAAGGCCACCGUCCGCCAAUCAAUUCAAGAUGUUACUGGCUUCCUGGUCUACAAAAGCUUUACGAUGCAGUUCAGCAGUACGUUGACAACCUCGUGGGCUGGGGAAGAGUUGCCUGCGUUUUCCAGUUUACAAAAACGGCCAUAAAAGCGGCAGGCGAGUAUGCUGUCUGGCGAUUCUGAUGAUUCCACGCCCGAAGUGGACUGAUGACCUUGGCGUGAAAUUCGCCCUUACCCAUCAAAGAAGCCACGAUAGACAUUUGAAAUUCACAAAAUUAUAUAUAUACAGUUUGACUGAUAUGUAAUGACCAAUAAUGUCGUUGACAUUUGAAGCUAGUGUUAUACAGACUUUUCUGAAUGACUUAUUUAUAAAAUGACCACAUUAACGUGUAACUAGUUUUGUUAUUCUAAUAUUCUAAUUUGUAUUCAUUCAUUAUAACGUAGACAUUCAUACAUUUCUCUACGUAGUCAAACUUUUCUGAAUUCACUCAUAAUAACGUAGACAUCUAUACAGCUAUCUUAGCUGUCAAAGUAGUGUGUAUUCAAACAUAAUGACAUAGACAUUCAAAUAGCUAUAUAUAUAUAUAUAUAGUGAAAAUACUCUGUAUUAAUUCAUAAUAACGUAGACAUUCAUACUGGUAUAUUUGUAGUCAGACUUCUGCGUAUUCACUCAUAAUGAUAAAUGAGACAUGUGCACAAAUAUCUAUGUUGUUGAACUAUUGUGUAUUCACACUAGAUAACGUAGACAUUGAAACAGCUGUAUAUAUUUAGUCAAACUACCUUGUAUUCACCAGUUGUUGCUGAUAUCCAUUCAUCUAUGCCAUGGACAUUAAAUAGACACGUCGUA